AGUGAACGCUGGCGGUAGGCCUAACACAUGCAAGUCGAACGGCAGCACAGUAAGAGCUUGCUCUUACGGGUGGCGAGUGGCGGACGGGUGAGGAAUACAUCGGAAUCUACUUUUUCGUGGGGGAUAACGUAGGGAAACUUACGCUAAUACCGCAUACGACCUACGGGUGAAAGCAGGGGAUCUUCGGACCUUGCGCGAUUGAAUGAGCCGAUGUCGGAUUAGCUAGUUGGCGGGGUAAAGGCCCACCAAGGCGACGAUCCGUAGCUGGUCUGAGAGGAUGAUCACCCCCACGGUAACUGAGACACGCCCCGGCCUCCCCCGGGGGGCGCCAGUGGGGUUUUUUGGCCAGGGGGCGCGCGCCUACCCCCCCCAUCCCGGGUGGGGAAAGAGGCCCUCCGGUUUCUAAGCCCCUUUUUUGGGGAAAAAAAAGCAGCAGUUUAACCCCCCGCUUUUCGGCGGCCCCCCAAAAAAAAACCCCCGCCUACCUUCCUC
rnacentral:rRNA from 1 species